AAACAACCAACCCCAGUUUUGUUCUCAACUUAAACGUCCAACUGUUCUACUUAUAAUUUUUCAUGUUGCUAACAUAUUAUAAAAAUCGAUCGGUGUUGAACUUGUUUUGAAAUUAUGCAUUUGAUUACAAUUUUUAAUUGUUGCGCGCACGCCUUAUAAUGCGUAUUUGAAUGUAUAAGCCCGGACCCUGAGUAUAGCUUCAGUGAGGCCUAAACCAACUAUGGACGCUGAUGUAGACAUACUUCGAUUUCUUUCUUAAUAGAUGACACUCGUGGCUAGUCUCCCGAUUCUCAUUUUCCUUCAAGAUAAUCUCAUUCUCAGACAGGAUCUGCUUUUUUAGAACCCCAGAGGCAGGUAAUGCAUCUGUGGGAGAAUCUAAAAAUCUCUCUGAAGCAUCUAAUACUGAUAUCGAGGUUGUAACAUCUAUUCCAAGGUCUGCCAAUGCUUCCCACAACAGAACUCCCUGAAUAAGCUGUUUAGUAUGAAGAUUAAGAAUUGUAGAAUGGGGUGCUGAUGGAGAUAGAGUGGUCAGCAUUAAAAAUCUGCAAUAUAAAUUUCCUGGCUUUUCUUCUGCUAUUAGAAUAAUAUGUACAUAUUUGUUUGAAUGAAAUAUAUUUUUUCCUAUUAA